rnacentral:misc_RNA from 1 species
GAUGAAGAACGUAGCGAAAUGCGAUAAGUAAUGUGAAUUGCAGAAUUCAGUGAAUCAUCGAAUCUUUGAACGCACAUUGCGCCCGCCAGUAUUCUGGCGGGCAUGCCUGUUCGAGCGUCAUUUCAACCAUCAAGCCCCAGGCUUGUGUUGGGGACCUGCGGCUGCCGCAGGCCCUGAAAACCAGUGGCGGGCUCGCUGUCACACCGGGCGUAGUAGAUUUUAUCUCGCUCAGGGCGUGCUGCGGGUUCCGGCCGUUAAAAAGCCUUUUUUACCCAAGGUUGACCUCGGAUCAGGUAGGAAUACCCGCUGAACUUAAGCAUAUUCAAUAAGCGGAGGA